CGAACUUAUUUUUUUAAAUGAGUUUGGCUAGCUCACUUUUAGUAUCGAUUUGUAAUUUCAGUUGACAAGAUUUGUUAAUUAAGCGCGCUCUGUUACGUCUGGAAGUACGAAAUGACAAGUUCUAAAACCCCGGUUACCUAAAACGCGCGUAUCAUACUUUUCAAAUGUGCAAAUGCAUAAGCUUAGAAUGAAUUCACAUUUCGGUAUCAUACAAUAAUAAAUGUUAAUUGAAAGUGUUUUUAAUACAUGACUGUGAUAUUUACAAAAAAACAAUAUGCCACAUGCACAACUAACAUGUUUUGAUUUCAAAAAUAAUUAUUAAACCAUCUAAUUUGUGUGCGGAAUAUAUGUAGCCCUCUGAAAGGACAAAGCUUUAUGUGAAACUUGAUUUUACUGGCUUUUUGAUUCACUGAACGCGGUUCAGUAAAAUGCAUUACCCAGUACUAACCAUCAGGUUACCGAACAGCAUUAAUAUUAAACCAAAAAUUAUAAUUUAGCAAGUAAUAACAAUCUUACAUGAUAAUCACACCGAAGGUCAAUAAAUGACUUACAUACAUUUUGCAUUACAUCACAGUAGUCAUAUUUUCGAUUAUUUCUCUUAGCUUUAGCUUUACUACUUUGUAAAAUGCCUCAAAUCUCAGUUGAACACCCACUAUGACUAUCAGAAGUUGCAAUCAGGCAUGCAUUUAGAAAAUAGCAGUCAAAAUGAUUUUUCUGUUUCUUAGUAAGAACGAAUACAAAAAUAUCUCUAUUUACAUUCAUAUUUGUAUAUUCUUGGUUACCAUAAACGUAUUGAUGAAUCAAAUUCUAUGUGGAGGCGCUUGAAGUGAUUUUAACCAAAUACAGAAAGCUCGCAAUUAAAGCUUUAUCUUAUUUUCACAAAAGUUACGGUUUUUUUGGGUGAUCACAUAGUAUUAAAAUGUGUAUAACAGUACAUAUUUGUAUGCAUAUUUAUGUGCAUAUAGGUAUGUGGAAAUGGAUUGCAGGAUACAAAUUUUUAAAAAUGAGUUCUUUUUGCCUUCACAUAUGAUUCUCACCUGCCUGUUAAAAGCGAAUUUAUUGCAAUUUCACAUGCGCAUAUAUAAAAAAAUGAAAACUUUCCGGACGAAAACAUCAACAUUGGGUUCAUAACAAAAUUCACAUUUUGCGGAUAUAUUUAUCAGUUAAUCACUUAAU
rnacentral:misc_RNA from 1 species